rnacentral:lncRNA from 1 species
UCUCUAUACAAGUAGUGUAAGGCAGUGUUUGAUAGCCAUUUGAAUUCCAUGGAAAAUAAAAAUUCAAUUCAAUUUCAUCUUCCACUUUUCUAUUGUUUGAUAGUAAUUAUUUUCCCUAUAAUUCAUUUUCUCACUUUAUUGCCACUCAGCCAAAUUUCAGUUUUUUGAUGAAUUUGAAUUCUUACCAAAAUGAUAAGAAUCCAUUUUCCAGAUUACUGUAAUGAUUUAUUAUUAUUAUUAUUUUUUCAAUGAAAAUAAAUUCUAAGAACUAUUGUAAAAAAAUAUUUUCCUUUAAUUGACAAUUUUUAUGUGAAACAAAGUCAAACGAACACCAAACAAUAGAUGAUUUUCUUGAUUUUUUUUACAAUGAAAACAAAUUCUAUCCACAAUAUCAAUAAUUUUUAUCCCGUUAAUUGACAAUUUUCAUAUAAAAUAAAGCCAAGAGAACACCAAAAUAUUUUUAUUUCAAUAUUUUUCAAGUAAAAAAUUAUAUCAAUCAUAUACUAUUAUUGACAAUUCCCAAAAUAAUAAUUUUUAGUUAAUUUAAUUCCCUACAAUUUAUUUUCUUUCUACUUAAAUUCCAUUUUUCAAAUGAACGGACCCUAAUUAUUUUGGAUAAGGGAAAUUACACAGCCUAGCAUUUUUCUCCGUUGGAUUGAACUGUUUAGAGAUUGAACUUUUCAGAUAGAAAGAGAAUAUUUACAAAUAAAUAGGUUGACAGGAAUAGACGUGACAUUUUGUCACUGAAUUUAAAAAACAAAAAAAAUACAAUCAUGACAGACAAUGAGAUUUGGCCCCUUUCUAAAUUUCAUUACAUUUUAUUUUUCUAUUUUUUAUUUUUAAUCACAUAAUUUUUCAUAAAAUGAUAUUAAACGUAAAAAAAUAUUGUUCCACUCAUUUUUAUUUCCAAACUGCAGCUUGGCCAACACUGCACCUAUAAUGCAGCCUAGCAUUUUUUCUGGACAAGUAGUGUAAUGGGAUCGUAGUUUUAUACAAGGGAAAUUACACACAGGCUCUUCAAAAUUCCAACUGCACUAUUGAGCAAUGGGAUCGUAAUUCUAAAACUGUGAAACAAAUCUUUGAUCCAAUCAUGUCCUCCACACAUGACUACAAGGUACGUAUCUUGUUGAAGGGCAAAAACAAAAGAAAAGAGAAGAAAAAUAAAUUAAUGUAGAAUUAAGAAAAAAAAAAAAGGAUCAUCUAUCAUCUUCCAUCUACACCCCGACAGCAGCACUGGUAGUUGGAGUCUGCAACUCUCCCAACUGUUCCUCGUCAGGUUAAUUUUAAAGAAAUAAAAUUUACUAAAUUAGCUUUACAAUAUCGAGUCAGAAGGCUUUAACUAACUUUAAAGGAUUAAGUCCAAAAAGACAUACAUAGUGCAUGUAGUCCUGCACCAUAUUCUGGAAUCUAAAAAUUAAACAAACGAACAGAAAAAUUUAAGGAAAAUGGAAAAGUACUACCUGGUCCCAUAAUUUGGAUUAGCAGCAGCUUAGGAAAUGAAAGAAUUUAGAGCAGACGAUAAUGACAGUUUGUUGGUGACAUUGGCCCCGAAGGGCGGCGCCGUCACCAUUGAUGGUAUCAAGAUCGAGUCGAGCCCCUUCAAUGCACCUGUUGAAGUUGAAAACUUGAUUUUGAUACCAAAAAUGGUGGUAGCGCAACCUCUGCACAUCGACCCCAAAGUCACCAGCAGACUAUGAUCAUCGACUAUCUUUGUCGAAUCUUGUGCCGACGGUGUACUUGCAAUCCUUUCUUUAUACAGAAGUCUGAAGCCUAAUUUCUAUUGCUUUGAUGAAAUUAUUAUAACGGUUGUAUACUUGUCUUUCCAAAUCUUGUACUAAUUUGUAGUACUGAAAACAAUACAUGUUUCAUAGAAGAGUACUACAAUUGUUCUGCUUUGAAUUUAACGAUAAAAAGGGAUUGAGUGUGUGCCGUUUAUGUACAUUUGUACUUCGUACUACAAUCCAAGUAGCAGUACAAAAAUGUUUGCCGACAGUAGAGGAUAGGGUUUCAUUGUAUAGACAUUUCCUAUUAAAUCGACUUCAUUAUAUAGACAUUUCCAAGUAGCAGUACUUCAUUAGUUUAACUUUUCUUUUUAAAAUUACAAAAUAACCGAUUCCAUCAAAUAUUUUAAAACUUACUUUUUAUAAUGGAGAAAAAGAAUUAUUGAUUUUGAAAAAUGUACCUUCAAUGUAGUAAUAAAUUUCAAGACUUCUCACGUCCAUGCAAGCCUUGUUCCUGCACAUUUGUGCAGUUGGUGUCUCUUGUCGAAGAUAUCAAUAUAUUAUAAGCAUUAAAUGAAAAUACAAUAUUUUUAUCUAAAAUGUCUAGCUUGUGGGCUAGAAGUGGCGACGAUGGAAGUAAUUUGUCAUUUCAAUCACAUACCAUAGAUUGUUUGAGAAAUCUUGCUCUCAAUUCCCUUUAGAGCCUCGCCUCCUUCGUGUUUCGGCUCAUCCUCACAGGGUCAAUUGGUCACCCUAAAGGGGUUCGCCCUGGCAUUGAUUUGUGCGCAGGCCCCACGGUUGCUAGCCACGUAGGACAUUUGAGGGUCGUAUGGAUGACUCGUAAUAGCAGUAGUCAUCAUUAGGGUCUUUAAUCCUUUUGAAAUAGAAUAUCUCCGCCCCUAGAUGAUAACGAUAUAAAGAGUUUGUAGCAAGUGAGUUUUCAAUAGACGGAACCCAUCUGUUUAAUCGUUAUAAAGUUAAUUCUCUUUUCGAGUGUGACUGUCUUCUUUGAAAUCAAAGAAUUUUGGAAAAGUGUCUUCCCCCUUUUUUCGAUAUAUAAAAUAGUGGAUUCUACUAAGUCGAUUUUUAAGAAAUGUCGAAUCAAGUUUUCUUUUGUCCAAACCCUUCGAAGCCUAUACACCAGUUCUCUAGACAAAAUAAGUAGUUUAAUAUUUUCAAAUUUAAUUCCGACUAUUAGUUACUUUUAUACAUAUAUAUUACUUAUAAGUAAAUUUUAAUUUAUACUCAUGUUAUGAAUUUUUGAUAUUUUAGUUUUCUUGUAUUUUUGGUUUUUUUAUGAAGGCAAUUAGAAGAACACAAUUCCCCGUGAAUUUGAAAUGAAAUAAUUAGGAUUUCGCUCUAUAAGCAUUUGAGAGAAGAUGUUGGUGAAUUCAAUUGACUCUUUCUAGAAUAUCGUCAUAUACAAUGUAGUUAAAAAUAAUAUAAUGCAUCACUCACAAAAGUUGUCAACUUAUCGCUAUCUUGUAAAAAUAUCGAAAUAUUAUAGAAUCGAGGAAUAUUUCAUAAUUAAACAUUCAAUAUUUAAGCUACAUAGUAAUUUUUUGUGAAAUUAGAAUCCUUUUUCAGCAAAUGAAAUAUUUAAUUUUUAAUGUGAAGAUACAACAAGUGUUUAUUAUUAGUCCGUUCACGUUGAUCAUAAAUAUUACAGCCACCUAACAUAAUAUGUUUAUUAUCGAUGACAAUUAUGAUUAAAAAGGAGUAUACUUUAAAGUUCUCAAUCGUUCAACGAACUGCUGUUGGAUAAUUGAUCGGAAUUGAUUAUUCUCAUAUAUCUAUUAUGUAUAAAUUUGAUUAAAAUAAUCUAUAAAUGUUGAAUUCUAGAUGAAUCAAACAACGCAGUGUUUGAUAGCCAUAAUUGAUCGGAAUUGAAUCAAUUAUUCUCAUAUCCACUAUGUAUAAAUUUGAUUAAAAUAAUCUAUAAAUGUUGAAUUCUAGAUGAAUCAAAUAAGGCAGUGUUUGACAGUCAUAAUUGAUCGGAAUUGAAUCAAUUAUUCUCAUAUACCCAUUAUGUAUAAAUUUGAUUAAAAUAAUCUAUAAAUGUUGAAUUCUAGAUGAAUUUUAAUGGAGAUUUUCUUAUCUUAUUACAAUAGGACGAACGAUUUGACCUGAUGCAUAUUAAAGCCGUCGGGCUCACUGUUGUGAGAGCUGUAGGGCCCAUCCAAUUGAUUGGUCCUGCCUGUAGAUAUAGGGAUUUGCUGCUCUGCCAGGUUUUAAAACCAAGCAUUGAAGCACUUGUUUCCUUUUCUUUUCUUUUCUUUUCUUUUCUUUUUUUCUUUUUUUCUUUUUUUUAAUCUAUCCAAUAGCCAAAUGACACGUGUCAUAUGUUCCAAACCCUGAAUUUUAACCCUAUUAGUGUAGCGUGGUUCAAUGAUAUAAAUUUUGAGUUAGUUCUACCCAUUUUCUAAUAAAUUUCAAAUUCAAUAGUCCUUAAUGCUUAUAACAACUUUACAAAUGGCGAAUCGACCUAAAAUAAUAAUGUAGAAUCAUGCUAUGGGCAGUAACGGAUUUAGUAUGUGGCCAGCUAGGGCGGCUGAUUCGUCAAGAAGAAUUUUUUUUUUUUUUUGUUGGUAAUAAAUAAAAAAUUUAGGUUAUAUAAUUAAUGGUUUAUUUUAUUUUCAAA